GGUUAAGCGACUAAGCGUACACGGUGGAUGCCCUGGCAGUCAGAGGCGAUGAAGGGCGUGCUAAUCUGCGAUAAGCGCCGGUAAGGUGAUAUGAACCGUUAUAACCGGCGAUACCCGAAUGGGGAAACCCAGUGUGACUCGUCACACUAUCAUUAACUGAAUCCAUAGGUUAAUGAGGCGAACCGGGGGAACUGAAACAUCUAAGUACCCCGAGGAAAAGAAAUCAACCGAGAUUCCCCCAGUAGCGGCGAGCGAACGGGGAGGAGCCCAGAGCCUGAAUCAGCAUGUGUGUUAGUGGAAGCGUCUGGAAAGGCGCGCGAUACAGGGUGACAGCCCCGUACACAAAAGCGCAUGUGCUGUGAGCUCGAUGAGUAGGGCGGGACACGUGGUAUCCUGUCUGAAUAUGGGGGGACCAUCCUCCAAGGCUAAAUACUCCUGACUGACCGAUAGUGAACCAGUACCGUGAGGGAAAGGCGAAAAGAACCCCGGCGAGGGGAGUGAAAAAGAACCUGAAACCGUGUACGUACAAGCAGUGGGAGCACCCUUUGGGGUGUGACUGCGUACCUUUUGUAUAAUGGGUCAGCGACUUAUAUUCUGUAGCAAGGUUAACCGAAUAGGGGAGCCGCAGGGAAACCGAGUCUUAAUUGGGCGUUAAGUUGCAGGGUAUAGACCCGAAACCCGGUGAUCUAGCCAUGGGCAGGUUGAAGGUUGGGUAACACUAACUGGAGGACCGAACCGACUAAUGUUGAAAAAUUAGCGGAUGACCUGUGGCUGGGGGUGAAAGGCCAAUCAAACCGGGAGAUAGCUGGUUCUCCCCGAAAGCUAUUUAGGUAGCGCCUCGUGAAUUCAUCUCCGGGGGUAGAGCACUGUUUCGGCUAGGGGGCCAUCCCGGCUUACCAACCCGAUGCAAACUGCGAAUACCGGAGAAUGUUAUCACGGGAGACACACGGCGGGUGCUAACGUCCGUCGUGAAGAGGGAAACAACCCAGACCGCCAGCUAAGGUCCCAAAGUCAUGGUUAAGUGGGAAACGAUGUGGGAAGGCCCAGACAGCCAGGAUGUUGGCUUAGAAGCAGCCAUCAUUUAAAGAAAGCGUAAUAGCUCACUGGUCGAGUCGGCCUGCGCGGAAGAUGUAACGGGGCUAAACCAUGCACCGAAGCUGCGGCAGCGACACUGUGUGUUGUUGGGUAGGGGAGCGUUCUGUAAGCCUGUGAAGGUGGCCUGUGAGGGUUGCUGGAGGUAUCAGAAGUGCGAAUGCUGACAUAAGUAACGAUAAAGCGGGUGAAAAGCCCGCUCGCCGGAAGACCAAGGGUUCCUGUCCAACGUUAAUCGGGGCAGGGUGAGUCGACCCCUAAGGCGAGGCCGAAAGGCGUAGUCGAUGGGAAACGGGUUAAUAUUCCCGUACUUGGUGUUACUGCGAAGGGGGGACGGAGAAGGCUAUGUUGGCCGGGCGACGGUUGUCCCGGUUUAAGCGUGUAGGUGUGUGUUCCAGGUAAAUCCGGUUCACUUUAACACUGAGGCGUGAUGACGAGGCACUACGGUGCUGAAGCAACAAAUGCCCUGCUUCCAGGAAAAGCCUCUAAGCAUCAGGUAACAUCAAAUCGUACCCCAAACCGACACAGGUGGUCAGGUAGAGAAUACCAAGGCGCUUGAGAGAACUCGGGUGAAGGAACUAGGCAAAAUGGUGCCGUAACUUCGGGAGAAGGCACGCUGACACGUAGGUGAAGUGAUUUACUCACGGAGCUGAAGUCAGUCGAAGAUACCAGCUGGCUGCAACUGUUUAUUAAAAACACAGCACUGUGCAAACACGAAAGUGGACGUAUACGGUGUGACGCCUGCCCGGUGCCGGAAGGUUAAUUGAUGGGGUCAGCGCAAGCGAAGCUCCUGAUCGAAGCCCCGGUAAACGGCGGCCGUAACUAUAACGGUCCUAAGGUAGCGAAAUUCCUUGUCGGGUAAGUUCCGACCUGCACGAAUGGCGUAAUGAUGGCCAGGCUGUCUCCACCCGAGACUCAGUGAAAUUGAACUCGCUGUGAAGAUGCAGUGUACCCGCGGCAAGACGGAAAGACCCCGUGAACCUUUACUAUAGCUUGACACUGAACAUUGAGCCUUGAUGUGUAGGAUAGGUGGGAGGCUUUGAAGUGUGGACGCCAGUCUGCAUGGAGCCGACCUUGAAAUACCACCCUUUAAUGUUUGAUGUUCUAACGUGGACCCGUAAUCCGGGUUGCGGACAGUGUCUGGUGGGUAGUUUGACUGGGGCGGUCUCCUCCUAAAGAGUAACGGAGGAGCACGAAGGUUGGCUAAUCCUGGUCGGACAUCAGGAGGUUAGUGCAAUGGCAUAAGCCAGCUUGACUGCGAGCGUGACGGCGCGAGCAGGUGCGAAAGCAGGUCAUAGUGAUCCGGUGGUUCUGAAUGGAAGGGCCAUCGCUCAACGGAUAAAAGGUACUCCGGGGAUAACAGGCUGAUACCGCCCAAGAGUUCAUAUCGACGGCGGUGUUUGGCACCUCGAUGUCGGCUCAUCACAUCCUGGGGCUGAAGUAGGUCCCAAGGGUAUGGCUGUUCGCCAUUUAAAGUGGUACGCGAGCUGGGUUUAGAACGUCGUGAGACAGUUCGGUCCCUAUCUGCCGUGGGCGCUGGAGAACUGAGGGGGGCUGCUCCUAGUACGAGAGGACCGGAGUGGACGCAUCACUGGUGUUCGGGUUGUCAUGCCAAUGGCACUGCCCGGUAGCUAAAUGCGGAAGAGAUAAGUGCUGAAAGCAUCUAAGCACGAAACUUGCCCCGAGAUGAGUUCUCCCUGAGACUUAGAGUCUCCUGAAGGAACGUUGAAGACGACGACGUUGAUAGGCCGGGUGUGUAAGCGCAGCGAUGCGUUGAGCUAACCGGUACUAAUGAACCGUGAGGCUUAACCUU
rnacentral:rRNA from 1 species